GUUAAGCGACUAAGCGUACACGGUGGAUGCCCUGGCAGUCAGAGGCGAUGAAGGACGUGCUAAUCUGCGAUAAGCGUCGGUAAGGUGAUAUGAACCGUUAUAACCGGCGAUUUCCGAAUGGGGAAACCCAGUGUGAUUCGUCACACUAUCAUUAACUGAAUCCAUAGGUUAAUGAGGCGAACCGGGGGAACUGAAACAUCUAAGUACCCCGAGGAAAAGAAAUCAACCGAGAUUCCCCCAGUAGCGGCGAGCGAACGGGGAGCAGCCCAGAGCCUGAAUCAGUGUGUGUGUUAGUGGAAGCGUCUGGAAAGGCGCGCGAUACAGGGUGACAGCCCCGUACACAAAAAUGCACAUGCUGUGAGCUCGAUGAGUAGGGCGGGACACGUGGUAUCCUGUCUGAAUAUGGGGGGACCAUCCUCCAAGGCUAAAUACUCCUGACUGACCGAUAGUGAACCAGUACCGUGAGGGAAAGGCGAAAAGAACCCCGGCGAGGGGAGUGAAAAAGAACCUGAAACCGUGUACGUACAAGCAGUGGGAGCACGCUUAGGCGUGUGACUGCGUACCUUUUGUAUAAUGGGUCAGCGACUUAUAUUCUGUAGCAAGGUUAACCGAAUAGGGGAGCCGAAGGGAAACCGAGUCUUAACUGGGCGUUAAGUUGCAGGGUAUAGACCCGAAACCCGGUGAUCUAGCCAUGGGCAGGUUGAAGGUUGGGUAACACUAACUGGAGGACCGAACCGACUAAUGUUGAAAAAUUAGCGGAUGACUUGUGGCUGGGGGUGAAAGGCCAAUCAAACCGGGAGAUAGCUGGUUCUCCCCGAAAGCUAUUUAGGUAGCGCCUCGUGAAUUCAUCUCCGGGGGUAGAGCACUGUUUCGGCAAGGGGGUCAUCCCGACUUACCAACCCGAUGCAAACUGCGAAUACCGGAGAAUGUUAUCACGGGAGACACACGGCGGGUGCUAACGUCCGUCGUGAAGAGGGAAACAACCCAGACCGCCAGCUAAGGUCCCAAAGUCAUGGUUAAGUGGGAAACGAUGUGGGAAGGCCCAGACAGCCAGGAUGUUGGCUUAGAAGCAGCCAUCAUUUAAAGAAAGCGUAAUAGCUCACUGGUCGAGUCGGCCUGCGCGGAAGAUGUAACGGGGCUAAACCAUGCACCGAAGCUGCGGCAGCGACGCUUAUGCGUUGUUGGGUAGGGGAGCGUUCUGUAAGCCUGCGAAGGUGUGCUGUGAGGCAUGCUGGAGGUAUCAGAAGUGCGAAUGCUGACAUAAGUAACGAU
rnacentral:rRNA from 1 species